CAGAGGUGGCAAGCGUUGCUCGGUAUCACUGGGCUUAAAGGGCGCGUAGGCGGUGCGGUACGGUUUCGGUGAAAUCCCUCGGCCCAACCGAGGAACAGCCGGAGCUACGGCCGCACUAGACGGCAUCAGGGGACAGUGGAACUUCCGGUGGAGCGGUGAAAUGCGUAGAUAUCGGAAGGAACGCCGGUGGCGAAAGCGACUGUCUGGGGUGCCUGUGACGCUGAGGCGCGAAAGCCAGGGGAUCAAACGGGAUUAGACUACCCCGGUAGUCCUGGCCCUAAACGAUGCGCACUAGGUAGCGGGAGGUUCCGACUUCCCGCUGCCGGAAGUAAAAAUCUUAAGUGCGCCGCCGUGGGGAGUACGGCCGCAAAGGUUA
rnacentral:rRNA from 1 species